rnacentral:lncRNA from 1 species
CAAAACCAUAAUUGUGGUUCAAUCAACAGUGUUUUACAAGAGGGACAAUGACUUCACCACAAGCACUCAAAAUGGACAUCAUGCCAACCUUACAACUCAUCAAGAUGCGCGGACAUUUCGCAUGACCUGCCUUCAUUUUCAAAAGCUGAGUUUUAUUGAGCAGUCAUCCCAAUGAUUUUGUGCUGUUCUCCUUUCUAAUAUAGCAGUGGGCUCCUUUCUGCAAAGGAUUCUGCAUGCCUUGAAUGCCUACGAUGAGCUGGCAGGCACAAGUGACUUCUGAUGUCUGGGUUUUCUUCAGCAGAAGCAUGGUUGAUAUGUCACUGAGAUCAGAACAAAAGGUCAAGGAAAGCAAAACAAAGAAAUCUAAUCUUGAGUCUGCUACUCAUCUCUUCACAUGGUGAGAAAAUCCUUAUGUAUUUCCCUUUAUCAGUUUCAGCUCUCUACAUGUUGAAAAGUAUUAUACAUCCGUUAAUAUAGGGUUAAAUAUCUAAGACUAAUAAUGAGGGAAAAGCCUAUCUCAGCCAAAACAAGGACUCAAAGUCAGACAAAUGAGAUUCCAGUGGAAGAGAAAUAAGACUUCUUUAUUCCUAGCAUUGCUAGAAAUAUACCUUCUCUUUCACCCCAGAAAUUCUCCAUGUGAACAAAGAAAGUUCAGGUAAUUUAAUGAAGAGGUUAGCAUUCAGCUUUGUUAGAAAAAGCUUCAGUGACUCAUCCUCAAGAGUAUAUGAAAUGAAGAGCUGACCUGAUCGUGUGGGGACUCCAGAAAUGACAAGUGUGUGUGAAUGUGAAACAGGGGGUGAGCUUCAGGAGGGAGGAGGAAAUAUCCCACAAGCUGCAAGUGAUGAUUUGAGGACUGCUGCUGCCAAAUGCUCAGUCUCUGGAAUAAAGUGUUCUCAGAGCAGAAGUUCCAUGUUGAAGAUUUCAUACUGCCUAGGAUUGUAAUGAAAUAGGAGCUCAGCCCUGUGCUUGAUGUUUUCCAACUCUCUGCCACAGAACAGCUUGGAGUAAACAAGUCUGUUAUUAACAUGUUGCUCAAAAGCAGUUUGAAAACACAAAAGCUCCAACAUAUAUUUUUGUCUUAAAAAGACACACUGAGAAUUCUUUGCUGCCUCAGGAAAUAGAUAUGCGGCUUGAUGGGCCGUGCCCUGUUUUAGAGUAAGUUACACAGAAU